CCGGUUGAUCCUGCCGGAGGCGACCGCUAUUGGAAUUCGAUUAAGCCAUGCGAGUCGAGAGUCUUAGGGACUCGGCGUACCGCUCAGUAACACGUGGGUAACCUGCCCUGUGCUGGGGAAUAACCUCGGGAAACUGAGAAUAAUGCCCCAUAAUUCACUACGCCUGGAACGGUGGGUGGAUCAAAGCUCCGGCGGCACAGGAUGGGCCUGCGGCGUAUCAGGUCGUAGGGGGUGUAAUGUACCCUCUAGCCUUCAACGCGUACGGGUUGUGGGAGCAAUCGCCCGGAGAUGGAUUCUGAGACACGAAUCCAGACCCUACGGGGUGCAGCAGGCGCGAAAACUUCACACUGCAGGAAACUGUGAUGAGGGAAUUCCAAGUGGCCAGACAAAGUCUGGUCUUUUAUGUAACUUUUAAUCGGUUACAGAACAAAGAGGUGGGAAAGACCGGUGCCAGCCGCCGCGGUAAUACCGGCACCUCAAGUGGUCGUCGCUUUUAUUGGGCCUAAAACGUCCGUCGCCUGUUUGGUACAUUCGUGGGUAAAUCAAGCCGCUUAACGGCUUGAAUUCUGCGAGGACGGCCAGACUAGGGACCGGGAGAGGUAUGGGGUACUCUCAGGGUAGGGGUAAAAUCCAGUCAUCCUGAGGGGACCACCUGUUGCGAAGGCGCCAUACUAGAACGGAUCCGACGGUCAGGGACGAAGCCUAGGGGCACGAACCGGAUUAGAUACCCGGGUAGUCCUAGGUGUAAACGCUGUGGACUUGGUGUUGGGGAUUCUACGAGUAUCCCCAGUGCCGAAGUGAAGAUGUUAAGUCCACUGCCUGGGGAGUACGGUCGCAAGGCUGAAACUUAAAGGAAUUGGCGGGGGAGCACAGCAACGAGAGGAGCGUGCGGUUUAAUUGGAUCAACGCCGGG
rnacentral:rRNA from 1 species